rnacentral:misc_RNA from 1 species
AAGGCUUGACAUGGACCGGACCGGGCUGGAAACAGUCCUUCCCCUUUGGGGUCGGUUCACAGGUGGUGCAUGGUUGUCGUCAGCUCGUGUCGUGAGAUGUUGGGUUAAGUCCCGCAACGAGCGCAACCCUCGUUCUAUGUUGCCAGCACGUGAUGGUGGGGACUCAUAGGAGACUGCCGGGGUCAACUCGGAGGAAGGUGGGGAUGACGUGUCGUUACCUUA